rnacentral:rRNA from 1 species
UACGGGGGGGGCAAGCGUUGUUCGGAAUUACUGGGCGUAAAGGGUGCGUAGGCGGUCUGUUAAGUUGGAUGUGAAAACUCUGGGCUCAACCCAGAGCCUGCAUCCAAAACUGGCAGGCUAGAGUUCUGGAGGGGGUAGCGGAAUUCCUGGUGUAGCGGUGAAAUGCGUAGAUAUCAGGAGGAACACCGGCGGUGUAGACGGCUUUCUGGACCGUAGCUGACGCUGAGACACGAAAGCGUGGGUAGCAAACAGG